UUAUUCUUUCUAAGAUAUUCCCAAAUCAAACACUCACUAGUACACAACACUACACUGUACAAUUUUUUGGAUUAAACAGAGAUGCAAAACAAACAAUGAUGUUACUGAGUUCACCUCCCAUCCUUUCCCAUUUCCCGCCAAACAAUCCAAUUCGCUUCAGAGUUUCAACUAUCAUCAAAUCCCUUUCUUCUAAAGCUGCCAUCGAUGGAAGAACAAGUUAUGUAGGAGUGAGACUGGAGGAGAAAGUCGAGGUAAUUGACGCCGUCAAAAUUAGGUUGGACGCUUGGAUUUCAUCCAAAAUUGAAGGAAUUAGCAGAGCUAGGGUUCAGUCUAGCAUUCGCGCUGGUCUUGUCUCCGUUAAUGGCCGCAUUGUUGAUAAGGUAUCAUAUGGUGUUAAAACGGGAGAUGAGGUAAACUGCACUAUAGCAAAAUUGGAACCCUUGAGAGCUGAUGCCGAGAAGAUACCUUUGGACAUUACAUAUGAGGAUGAUCAUGUUUUGGUUGUGAAUAAACCUCCACAUAUGGUUGUCCAUCCCGCACCUGGAAAUGCAAGCGGAACUCUUGUUAACGCAGUUUUGAACCAUUGUAGUCUCCCCAAUGUUGCAACAACAGGUGAAGAAUGGUUUUCUGAGGAAGAUGAUGUAUCUGGGGAUGUAGAUGUACGUCUGACCAAUCAAUUCAUUGGUGAAGAGGCAACUUCCUGCUCCAUUCGCCCUGGUAUAGUGCACCGGCUAGACAAAGGCACUAGUGGAUUGCUGGUGGUUGCUAAGGAUGAACACUCCCAUGCUCACCUGGCAGAGCAAUUUAAGGCCCAUACAGUAACUAGAGUCUACUUGAGUGUCACUUCUGGGGUGCCGACCUCACCUUCUGGUCGUGUUGAGGUUCCAAUUGGUCGUGAUUUGAAUAACAGAAUUCGGAUGACUGCUGUUACUGGACGUAAUUAUUCUGGAUCUUCAAGGCAUGCUGCCAGUAGGUACAAAGUCCUGGAAGUACUAGCCAAUGGUGGAGCAGCGUUGGUCGAAUGGAGACUAGAAACUGGACGCACACAUCAGAUCCGGGUGCAUGCGAAGUACAUGAGUAUUCCAUUAAUGGGAGAUGAAUUGUAUGGAGGGACCAAGGACAAAGCCUUGUCAGUGCUUCGACCCAGAACACCAUCCGUUUGUCAUUUUCAACUCAAUGAUCUGCUUUCCAAUAUAGAAAGGCCUUGCCUCCAUGCUAUGGUUCUUGGGUUUGAGCACCCACGGACUGGUAAGUACAUGCAUUUCUCAUGCCCUCCACCUGUUGAUUUUGCUGAAGUAUUGAGUCAGCUACGUCAUAUUUCAAGAUUGGAAGGUGCCUGAAAUUCAAAUCAGUUGCAUAGGUCAGAUACUAGUAGGUGCUGAUACCUUAUGCUUAACUGUUCUUACAAAGGACAAGCAAGAGCUCACCGAAUGUUAGGACCAGCACAGAAUCAUUUAUGUUGGCAAUCAUACCAAGUGUAUAUGCAUGAUCAAGUAUAAUGUGACUGAACUAUAUGCUCGGUGAAUUGGCAUGUAUUUGGAUCCUGCAUAAUCAAAUUUUGCUGCAGUUCGCAUUCAAUUUCAGCUGUUUUUGUUGAUAAAUGGUCGACAAAUUGAUUAAACUUGCGGACAAUCUGAAAAUGUACAGAUCAUGCAAACAUUUCUAAAUUGGCUGGUGGGAAUAGCAUCAGCUGCCGAAAAGUAGUAUCCGGAAAGAAUAUGGCAUUGGCAUUUGCAUUUGUUGUCAGCCACAUUUGUUGUCAUGCUUUUGGUUCCCAAAUCAGCUUGUAUUAAUUAAAUUAAUGUCGGGCUCGGGCAUUUGAGUUUAAUAAUUUUUAUUUUGAUAAUGUGGUCAUUGUACAUCUAUGCUUCACCGGAAAUUUAAAGAAAAAAGCUAUAUCGUUUUGUGGUCAUUUAA